CUAAUUAAGGUUGAAUUACUCUUCUCUCCAUACCGCUGCCUAAGCUUGGUUCUUAAAGGACACUUGCAUUGACUUUCAUACUUACUAAAAGUCCUCCAUCGAUAUUCUGUGCAGUGAAUUUUGGUAGAAAGCGUAGUUCUGGGAGUUUGAGGACAUUUCUCAACUCAAAUUACAGGACAGACACCCGCAGAUAGGAUUUCUAUUGUUUUAGGAUCACUCAGACAAGAGCGAUGGGAACAAACUGAGCAAUCUUGCGGUCAAAAGAACAUUAUAAGAGCUUUUUGCCCCUAAGGACAUCGCGCACGCCCACUGUCCACGUUUUAAAGUAAGACAAACCCGCUGUUUUUUCGACAAAAUCAGAAACUACUGCUGGAACGAUUCAAAAUAAAUUCAAUGAAAAACACCUUUACCACUUGUUUUGAAUAAGAAGGAAACAUAACCUUUGACCAACUAAAACUAAAAUAACAAACGAAACCUCGAGAGGAAAACAAGGCAAAAUAAUUAUUCAAUUAACUACAAUUCAUCGCUGAUGCUUUUUGAAAAAAAAAAGCCCUCUCUAAAGAAAAUGAUCUGCUAAGUCUUUGUGAAUGUUGUUAACAUUUCACUGAUUUUAAUGGAGUAGAAAUUUAAGGGAAUUUUGCAUUGGUGAUCAUAGGAAAGACUGAAGAUGAAAAGGUGAAAAUUGAGGACAACAUAUCAUUCUUUAUUUAAGUAUCAUUUCGAAUAGCUUCCCCUCUCUCAAGAAAAUCGGAAAACACCGGCUCUUGUCAUAACAAAAAUGGCAGCGAUAGCUGUGGCAAAAGGAAGUUUUUAUUUGUAAGCAUCAACAGGUUUUUCCUCCGUGUGACAGCUCUUGAUUGAAGAACCGACACAGCGAAGAGAAACAAUCUUGUCGUAAAGGGGUUUUUUUACCAUGGUUAAAACUGAUUUAUGCUCACAGACGAAAAUCAUUUAGAAUUCACCUUCGUUGACCUUAAUAGCCUUUGAGGAUUUUGGGUUUUGCUUAAUGGUUAUCUAAGUACACUGAAAUACUCUGAGCAACAGACGAUCGUGUACUUUGAUGUAUUUGACUGUUGCUGGUGACAGUGAUUAAUGUUUUCAACAUCCAGAGCGGAAGUCACCGUCAGAGUCAAACGGGUAGUUGUUUUUUAGUCUAUGUGUUAGGUCUGCUUCAUGGGAACUAAAUUCCACCGUGAUGUUAUUGGGUCGCCACACUCAGGAAGCGAUCGUUAGUUGUGGUUAGUCAGUUGGUAAAGUUAGCUUCCUCCGCUAGAUUCCUUGAGAACAAGUCGUUAGUGGGGCGGCUGAUAGCUAUUGACAUCUGUUGAGUGCGCUCUGAUAUAAAGUUGGUAAACCACCUCUUCAAGGCAGUUAAUGAAAAUCGUCGAUGCUGUAAAUUUAACAUUACGCGGGGUCUCCUGAAGGCGACAAUGAUCCUUCAGCGAUGUGAUUGAUUACUUCGAUCACCUUUCAUUGUUAUUGCUUUCUAGACUAUUAUUGUUUUGGUAGUUUUAUUUUGAAUUACUUACGUCAUUGGUGAGAAAGAGCCUAAUUUUUUCAAGAAACUUAUUUUCUAAACUUUAUCUGUGUUCCUAAAACAGUACGAGCACUUUUCAAUAUCCAAGGAGGUACCGGAUAGGCCCCUAAAAUUCUACAAAAAAUUCACUAGCAAUGGCAAAACCCUUUGAAAAUGACGCUGAGCCGAUUUGCCAAAACAUCCUGAGCAACACGUAGCCUGAAAUUACGAUUGCCCACAAAAGGUCAACUUCGUCAGUGCAUUGACGUAAGUAUUGCGUGAGAAACCUUGAAUAAGCGAGAUAUAUCUUUAAGCUGAAAACUUGGCACACAUCGCCAAAACUAAAAUUCCCUUUAUAAUCAGUCACGUUUCUGAACAUGUUUCAGCUGAUUUGGGAUGAAAUUUGAACAUCCUCUUUCUUUAGAUAGGUUUUAUCCCUCAGUUCAGCUGUACGAAUGGUUUGUCGGUGGGCUCCAACAGAACAGCAUCAAGCGACGUGCAACGAAUAUUAUGUUGCUGAGAUGUAAUAUGAUCGUACCAAGGUUCACCGAUAUCUCGUGACCAGACUUCUUAAUCUAACGGAAACGAUAAUCUUAAACUAUAAAUGCCAGCGCAAAGGCAAUUGCUGAAGAGAGGAUAAACACUGAGAUCUGCUUCCCUAGAAAACGAGAGAUAAUGUUUUGAAUGAUAACGACAGUGAACCGAUGAGUCCACGCUGUACAUCUUGGGUUAUGAGUGCCAAAUAUCACAGAAGAGAAAUUGAAAGCAGAUCAGUCCAGGCAUGUAUGUAUUUAGGACGAUUCGUAGAAGUGGACAAAAUUCCUGCCGGUGUGAACGCUCCUCCCGGCUGCGAGAACGGAAAUGGGUUCGAUCAAUCCGUCAGCUCCCCAUCGUUAUACGAAGUUUACGGUCAGUUAUGUCUUGCGUCAAGAGAAAAUGAUAUUUCUCUUCCUUACCAGCUUAUUGGUAACACUUGCCUCAACGAAUUAGUAGAAAACGAGCGGAAGUUUGUCUGGCACAUGGUUUACCAAGAAAUGUUUACUUUGGCGGGACCUCACGAUUAGUUGAUGUUUUAAUUAGAUUCCUUUUUUAAAAAUGCCAUCUUGUGUAUAAUGAUUCAAUCUAUUGUUUCUUAAUCUUUUUUCUGAAAUCCUCCUACUUUAAAAGCAAAAAAUUUAAAUUGUAAAACAACGAUAGGGUAUAAAUUAAGUAACAUACCUUUGAAAGGCCAGAGUGGGUUUUAUGGUGUCCUUAUGAAAAAAAUAUAAAUAAAAAAAUUGACAACCUUGUGCAUGACAGUCUGCAAGUGCGAUGGCUCAGACCACAAGGAUCAUCUCAACGUUUUCAGUGUUCCUGAUUGGUAACCCGAUGUUUCCUUUAGCGAAGUAGGAAAGUUAUCUAACUGCAAUUUAUUACUUUGUGAAGCUAUCGUUCGAAAAUAGAAAGGGGGGGGGAGGGUGGACAAAACCUUGUUGUUCUUUCGCACUAUCAAAAAAUAGUUAACCUUUCGCAGUUUCAAUUUAGCGGUGAGAUCAUACGAACUUUCUUUCGAAUUCAAGAGGAAUUCUUUUGGUAUUCAAAUAUUGUAUACUCAUGGUGGUGAGGAAAGAGAGAAAUAGCCAAUCAAGAUAUUUUGUUGUCGGUGAUCAAGCAGUAAGGUUUUUAUAUAAAAUGGAGGGAAAAUGAUAAAAUAAGAGUCAGUGUAGUUAACGCUACAACUGAGCUGAGGAUAAGGAAUUGAUAAAACUGUAAGAAGGCACAAGGAACGGUCUGAUAGUGGUCACAUUUUUUGUCCUGAUCUCCAAGUGCGAGAAGAGACAAAUUCAGCUCAGGUACAUUUGGGUAGAUCAUUUUCCAAGUAAAGUGAUAUCCUGAAUAAGCCGUAUUUAAUAUAAAAUAAAACAGAAGAUAGCGUUGAA